AUUGAACGCUGGCGGCAGGCCUAACACAUGCAAGUCGAACGGUAACAGGAAGAAGCUUGCUUCUUUGCUGACGAGUGGCGGACGGGUGAGUAAUGUCUGGGAAACUGCCUGAUGGAGGGGGAUAACUACUGGAAACGGUAGCUAAUACCGCAUAACGUCGCAAGACCAAAGAGGUGGACCUUUUUGCCUCUUUCCAUCGGAUUUGCCCAGAUGGGAUUAGCUAGUAGGUGGGGUAACGGCUCACCUAGGCGACGAUCCCUAGCUGGUCUGAGAGGAUGACCAGCCACACUGGAACUGAGACACGGUCCAGACUCCUACGGGAGGCAUCAGUGGGGAAUAUUGCACAAUGGGCGCAAGCCUGAUGCAGCCAUGCCGCGUGUAUGAAGAAGGCCUUCGGGUUGUAAAGUACUUUCAGCGGGGAGGAAGGGAGUAAAGUUAAUACCUUUGCUCAUUGACGUUACCCGCAGAAGAAGCACCGGCUAACUACGUG
rnacentral:rRNA from 1 species